rnacentral:rRNA from 1 species
UACGUAGGGUGCGAGCGUUGUCCGGAAUUAUUGGGCGUAAAGGGCUCGUAGGCGGUCUGUCACGUCGGGAGUGAAAACACGGGGCUUAACCCCGUGCCUGCUUCCGAUACGGGCAGACUAGAGGUAUGCAGGGGAGAACGGAAUUCCUGGUGUAGCGGUGAAAUGCGCAGAUAUCAGGAGGAACACCGGUGGCGAAGGCGGUUCUCUGGGCAUUACCUGACGCUGAGGCGCGAAAGCGUGGGGAGCGAACAGG